GUCCUACGGGGGGCAGCAGUGAGGAAUAUUGGUCAAUGGACGAGAGUCUGAACCAGCCAAGUAGCGUGAAGGAUGACUGCCCUAUGGGUUGUAAACUUCUUUUAUAAAGGAAUAAAACGAGGCACGUGUGCCUUUUUGCAUGUACUUUAUGAAUAAGCAUCGGCUAACUCCGUGCCAGCAGCCGCGGUAAUACGGAGGAUGCGAGCGUUAUCCGGAUUUAUUGGGUUUAAAGGGUGCGUAGGCGGCAUUAUAAGUUAGUGGUAAAAUAUUGGGGCUUCACCUCACUACGCCAUUAAUACUGUAGA
rnacentral:rRNA from 1 species